AGGCAAUGAUGAAGCAAAUAGUCAUGCACCACUCAGAUCUUUCUCAGUGAUGAUGAUACUGUACUAUUACCCAUCUUUUUGAGCCU